rnacentral:rRNA from 1 species
GACGAACGCUGGCGGCGUGCUUAACACAUGCAAGUCGAACGGAAAGGCCCUGCUUUUGUGGGGUGCUCGAGUGGCGAACGGGUGAGUAACACGUGAGUAACCUGCCCUUGACUUUGGGAUAACUUCAGGAAACUGGGGCUAAUACCGGAUAGGAGCUCCUGCUGCAUGGUGGGGGUUGGAAAGUUUCGGCGGUUGGGGAUGGACUCGCGGCUUAUCAGCUUGUUGGUGGGGUAGUGGCUUACCAAGGCUUUGACGGGUAGCCGGCCUGGGAGGGUGACCGGCCCCGUCGGACCGGGGAUGCGACCCAGACUACACCCGUAGGCAGCAGUGGGGAAUAUUACACUAUAGGCGGGAGCCAGAUGCGGCAACGCCGCGUGCGGGAUGACGGCCUUCGGGUUGUGAACCGAUUUCGCCUUUGACGGGGCGUGAGUGACGGUAAUGGGUGAAGAAGCACCGGCUAACUACGUG